CGCCGCCCCGCGACCUGCAGCGGCGACGCGUGUCCGCCCCGGCGACCACCACGGACACGGCGGACGGACCCCGACUGGCGCCACACCGCCUGUCCUUCCCCAGCUCGCGACGAAAGCUCAGCGCCAUGACCCAGCGCAGCAACCAAUGAAGAUUUCAUUUAUGUGUCGUUUUAUUUAACUAGUGUUUUAACAAUUAAUGUGUUGUACGUUCCGGUGGUCUGCGCCCUCGGCUAAGUUCGUGAGUGAGGUGCGCGGUCGCUCGGAAGUCAAACCACUUAAUUGUACGGCCCGCGAAAGUUACUAGAUAGAUGUCCUAGGUUCCUAAUCUUAGUGAGAUUUUGUGAUUCUGUUAGUGAGAAAUGUGAUACUACGAAAUAAAUGUAUUUUUAUACGGCCCAGAGCGAAAUUCACUCA